GACGAACGCUGGCGGCGUGCUUAACACAUGCAAGUCGAACGGAAAGGCUCCAGCUUGCUGGAGUACUCGAGUGGCGAACGGGUGAGUAACACGUGGGUGAUCUGCCCUGCACUUCGGGAUAAGCCUGGGAAACUGGGUCUAAUACCGGAUAGGACCGCACUUUGGUGUGUGUGGUGAAAGGUUUUUCUGGUGUGGGAUGAGCUCGCGGCCUAUCAGUUUGUUGGUGGGGUAAUGGCCUACCAAGACGGCGACGGGUAGCCGGCCUGAGAGGGUGGACGGUCACAUUGGGACUGAGAUACGGCCCAGACGCCUACGGGAGGCAGCAGUGGGGAAUAUUGCACAAUGGGGGAAACCCUGAUGCAGCGACGCCGCGUGGGGGAUGAAGGCCUUCGGGUUGUAAACUCCUUUCGCUAGGGACGAAGCUUUUUGUGACGGUACCUGGAGAAGAAGCACCGGCUAACUACGUG
rnacentral:rRNA from 1 species